UCUAAGUAUUACCUGCCAGACAGGGAAACUGCGUACGGCUCAUUACACCAGCCUUAAUUUACUUGACCUUGACAACCUACUUGGAUAACUGUGGUAAUUCUAGAGCUAAUACAUGCACCAAAGCUCCGAUCCUCGCGGAGAGGAGCGCAUUUGUUCGCCACAAAACCAAGCGCCCAUCUGGGCGUCCAGUGCUGAACCAGAACAACUCAGCUGAUCGCACGGUCUUGUACCGGCGACGUGUCUUUCAAGUGUCUGCCUUAUCAACUUUCGAUGGUAGUGUACCUGACUACCAUGGUUGUGACGGGUAACGGAGGAUAAGGGUUCGACUCCGGAGAAGGGGCCUGAGAAAUGGCCACUACGUCUAAGGAUGGCAGCAGGCGCGCAAAUUACCCACUCUCAACGCGAGGAGGUAGUGACGAGAAAUAACGAGACCGUUCUCAUACGAGGCCGGUUAUUGGAAUGGGUACAAUUUAAA
rnacentral:rRNA from 1 species